rnacentral:other from 1 species
UUUACCCUGGGGUGUUUGUGAUUGGGUUUAAGUCCCUGAGCCGAUAAGCAAUACACAAGGGUUAGUAUUUGGUUACUAUUGAGCAAGCUCAGCUCGAACUGAGAAGCCUACGGUAAUCACUGCUGAUCCGCCUUGAACCAGCUGGUUCAAGGGCCACGAUCCUCAACGGCACUCUGGGGUAUCC